ACCCUCACAUUCGUUUCCGUUCUCCAUCUUCUCUUAAUUACCCUCUCUACUUGACAAAGUUUCUUCUGGCUGUCUGUCUGUCUGUCUGUCUGCCUCUGUGUGUGUGUGUAUACUAUACAUACACAUAUAUAGCUUCUGUCGGGGGUAACUUCAACUGAACCGACCGACCGUUGCGAUAUGUGCCAGGAAGCAACGUGUGCAUAUUCCAUUUCCAGAACAUACGAUUGGCUGGACAUCUAACAGCUUCCUUCGCGAUUCCAUUCCAAGCCAAGGGUUCCUAGCUGCCGAUGGGUUAGUCAUGAGUCAGAACGAAAAAGAUUAAUUGAAAGUAACAAAGGGCUUCCCCCUUCACCUUUCUUAACGCUAGUACUGUCUGAAGAAAUUUUCUAGCCUUCUACAACAACUUCUAUUCUUGUGUCUUUGUUCCUCUUUUGAGGACAAGAUUACAUAUAUAAAAGACGAAUUUAUCAAAAUUAGUAUUAACACGUGAAUAUCAUUUCCAUGAUAUAAUUCAAUUCCAACUUUCAAUUUGCGUCUGUACACUUGGAGCCAGCAACGUGUGUGUGUGUCUAUAUAUAUACAUAUAUUUUUUUUUUACAUGAAGUAUAGAGUAGCCACCUAGUUUGAAAUGAAGAAGCAUCCAGGUGAUUCACAAUUCCAGAAGUCCAGCAGUAGAUUGAUUAAAGGAGGUCAGGUCUGAUUUCGUGGUCUACCCGCUACAUUAAAGGGAACUGGACUCUUUUUUUUUUUUUUUGGUCAACGCAGGGGUGUCCAGGUCAAUCUUUACGGGGCCCGAUUAAUUUCCUGCGGUCCGGGAGAGGAGGCCCCACUCCACACCGAGCACGUUAACAGCGGGACUCGAACUCUGGACAAGCCAGAAAGAUCGCCAUACUCUAAGGAGGGGGAGCGGACCGUUCGAGCUAUCCCGUGGGGGCAGAAAACCAGCCACGUAAAAUGACAAGUUUGUAGGAGGUCAGGGGUUCAGCAUCACCAAAGAGGGUGAUGACCACUGGACCAAAUGGCCAGUGGCUGGGGACUGGACUUUGAGACCAAGACCAAAAUGUCAAGUCGUCGACAAUUUCCAUUACACUUGAUGCACGUACUUAUAUACGCCACAAAAUUGUUUUUAAUUGAAUGGCUGCCCGCAUCAAAGGUCAAAUCACAAGCUUCUAGAAAACGAGCGAUUGAGCUAGCAAAAUUUGUAAUAUGAACAUUGUCACGCUUUGCAAAGAUAUGAGGUGCCAUUUUAGGAUUCUAUUUCCCAGUACAAUGGCCGAAAUGAACCCUCUAUCUCCAUCAUCUCUUCCAAGUUAGUGUGCCGGCAUCUUCCUGUAAGUUAUUUCUCCCCAUUCCCCCUUUCUCAAAACAAGGGGGGAAGAGCCUUAAAUUGAAAUAUAAAAUUGUUUCUAUGAAACCUUCUGCCCUAUCAUAGAUUGGAUGUAUAUGCAUGACCCAAGUCACUAUUCUUUUGUGUUUA